rnacentral:rRNA from 1 species
GACGUAGGGCGCGAGCGUUGUCCGGAAUUAUUGGGCGUAAAGAGCUCGUAGGCGGUUUGUUGCGUCCGUCGUGAAAGCCCACAGCUUAACUGUGGGUCUGCGGUGGAUACGGGCAGACUAGAGGCAGGUAGGGGAGAACGGAAUUCCCGGUGUAGCGGUGAAAUGCGCAGAUAUCGGGAGGAACACCGGUGGCGAAGGCGGUUCUCUGGGCCUGUACUGACGCUGAGGAGCGAAAGCGUGGGGAGCGAACAGG